AGCAACAGCUAGCUUAUUACCCAAUAACUAAACAAUAUAAAUAAAACAAAAUAAGCCCAACACCAAAACUUAAACCAUUCUUUUACCUUAGUAUGGGAGACAGAAAAGGUUCCACAAAGCAAUAGAAAUAGUACCGCAAGGGAAAGCUGAAAGAGAAAUGAAACAACCCAUAUAAGCAUCAAAAAGCAAAGACUUAACCUUGUACCUUUUGCAUCAUGAUUUAGCCAGUACACCCAAGCAAAGAGACCUUUAGUUUGAAACCCCGAAACCAGGUGAGCUACCCCGAGACAGCCUAUUAUAGGGCCAACCCGUCUCUGUGGCAAAAGAGUGGGAAGAGCUCCGGGUAGAAGUGACAGACCUACCGAACCUGGUGAUAGCUGGUUGCCUAAGAAAUGGAUAGAAGUUCAGCCUCGUUACACCUCAAAUCAAACAAAUGUAAACAAGACACUAAGAGAAAUGCACGAGAGUUAGUUAAAGGGGGUACAGCCCCUUUAACAAAGGACACAACCUUCUCAGGAGGAUAAAGAUCACAAUAUACAAAACAUACUGUUCUAGUGGGCCUAAAAGCAGCCAUCUAAACAGAAAGCGUUAAAGCUCAGACAGACAAAAGUUUAUUAUUCUGAUAAAAAAUCUUACUCCCCUAAACACUAUUAGGCCAGCCCAUGCCCCCAUGGAAGAGAUUAUGCUAAAAUGAGUAACAAGAAGGCCCGCCCUUCUCCAAGCACAAGUGUAAGCCAAACCGGACCAACCAUUGGCAACUAACGAACUCAAUCCAAGAGAGCAAUGUGAAUUACAAAAAAAUCAAGAAAAAUCCACAAUCGAACUAUCGUUACCCCCACACUGGAGUGCAUCUAAAGGAAAGACUAAAAGAAAAGGAAGGAACUCGGCAAACACAAGCCUCGCCUGUUUACCAAAAACAUCGCCUCCUGCAACACAACCAAGUAUAGGAGGUCCAGCCUGCCCAGUGACUACAAGUUUAACGGCCGCGGUAUUUUGACCGUGCAAAGGUAGCGCAAUCACUUGUCUUUUAAAUAGAGACCUGUAUGAAUGGCUAAACGAGGGCUUAACUGUCUCCCCUUUCUAGUCAGUGAAAUUGAUCUACCCGUGCAGAAGCGGU
rnacentral:rRNA from 1 species